ACGGAGGCGGAGCGAAAGCGAGUCUGAAUAGGGCGAGAGUCGUGGGGGUAGACGCGAAACCAUGUGAUCUACCCCAUGGGCAGGUUGAAGGUGCGAUAGUCUCGCACUGGAGGACCGAACCGGUAAACGUUGAAAAGUUUUCGGAUGACCUGUGGGUAGGGGGUGAAAGGCCAAUCAAACUUGGAGAUAGCUCGUACUCCCCGAAAUGCAUUUAGGUGCAGCGUCGGGUUAAAGUGUCAUGGAGGUAGAGCUACCAAUAGGGCUAGGGGGCUUCACCGCCUACCAACCCCUGAUGAACUCCGAAUGCCAUGACAUUAUACCGGCAGUGAGGCUACGGGUGCUAAGGUCCGUGGCCGAGAGGGGAACAACCCAGACCAACAGCUAAGGUCCCUAAAUUGAUAUUAAGUUGAAUCUAACGAUGUGAGGAUGCAUUGACAGCUAGGAUGUUUGCUUGGAAGCAGCAAUUCAUUUAAAGAGUGCGUAACAGCUCACUAGUCGAGCGUUCUUGCGCGGAAAAUAAUCGGGC
rnacentral:rRNA from 1 species